rnacentral:rRNA from 1 species
GACGAACGCUGGCGGCGUGCCUAAUACAUGCAAGUAGAACGCACAGUUUAUACCGUAGCUUGCUACACCAUAGACUGUGAGUUGCGAACGGGUGAGUAACGCGUAGGUAACCUGCCUGGUAGCGGGGGAUAACUAUUGGAAACGAUAGCUAAUACCGCAUAAUAUUAAUUAUUGCAUGAUAAUUAAUUGAAAGGUGCAAUUGCACCACUACCAGAUGGACCUGCGUUGUAUUAGCUAGUAGGUGAGGUAACGGCUCACCUAGGCGACGAUACAUAGCCGACCUGAGAGGGUGAUCGGCCACACUGGGACCGAGACACGGCCCAGACGCCUACGGGAGGCAGCAGUAGGGAAUCUUCGGCAAUGGACGAAAGUCUGACCGAGCAACGCCGCGUGAGUGAAGAAGGUUUUCGGAUCGUAAAGCUCUGUUGUAAGAGAAGAACGGGUGUGAGAGUGGAAAGUUCACACUGUGACGGUAUCUUACCAGAAAGGGACGGCUAACUACGUG